GGAAUCUUGGACAAUGGGCGCAAGCCUGAUCCAGCCAUGCCGCGUGAGUGAUGAAGGCCCUAGGGUUGUAAAACUCUUUCGUCAGGGACGAUAAUGACGGUACCUGAAGAAGAAGCCCCGGCUAACUUCGUGCCAGCAGCCGCGGUAAUACGAAGGGGGCUAGCGUUGUUCGGAAUUACUGGGCGUAAAGCGCACGUAGGCGGACUUUUAAGUCAGGUGUGAAAUCCCGGGGCUCAACCUCGGAACUGCAUUUGAAACUGGAAGUCUUGAGACCAGGAGAGGUUAGCGGAAUACCGAGUGUAGAGGUGAAAUUCGUAGAUAUUCGGUGGAACACCAGUGGCGAAGGCGGCUAACUGGACUGGUACUGACGCUGAGGUGCGAAAGUGUGGGGAGCAAAC
rnacentral:rRNA from 1 species